rnacentral:lncRNA from 1 species
UUCCUGGAAGGCAGAAAGAAAGAGAUAAAAAGGAAAAAACAGCAUUUGUCACUUAUAGUGCUCUGGUUAGCACAGUAGCUGGGCCCCUGAACCCUCUACAGGCCUCCCAAGCUGGCACUGAAUAAAAUGUGAGAAAUGAAAGGAACUUUUCCGUGAGUCUGGCAGCGCCGACAGACACUGAGGUGGCAGAGCUGUCUGGUCCCAGUCCACAUGCAGAGGCCUGCAGCUCCUCCUUCCAGCCCGCACCCACCAGAGCUUCUCAGACGGGCCGUGUCCUGAGAAGGUUGUUGCCAAUGUAGAUGUUUGAGAGGCUCACUGAUGAACAAAUCAACAGAGCAGAUUUAAUCUGAAGAGAUCCAAAUAUUGUGCUUCUUUGGACUCAUAGAAAUGGCGAAAGAUUUAACAUCAGGAAGUACUUAAGUCAGCUAAUUUCUAGAGCCUUCUUCCUCCCUGUCACUUGAUUCUAGAUAGGAUCACCAGUUAGACAUCAGAACCAGAUCUUUUUAUCCAGAGAAGUACCAGUUUGUUGUUUUUCCUUCCGAAGCCAAGUCCUCGAGUUUCAGGUAGACUUCAGUUGAUUUCUGCGAGGUCUUUGCUUUCUCUCUGCCAGAAUAAUCACUGCUGAGGAAAGCAAAAAGCCCCGAAGAGCCUGGCUUGGAAUAAAAACAUGCACCAUACAAGAUUUUUAUGAAGAUUAAAUAACUUGGGCUAAAAUAUUCUGGAAGCUGCCAAGGGCUCUACAGAUGAGCUAUACAGAGGCAUUUGCUGAAAACUGGCCUGGAUUGACAAGCGCAAUGCAAACGUGGCUGCGGCAGUUCCAGGCAUCACAUGGUAACAAGAUCACAUCCAGUGAAGAAGGAAUUCUCAUAAGACAGUCAGCAGAUUUUGCAGGUUUUCAACUGAUUGGAUGAGGUUCACCUACAUUAUGGAGGACAGUCUGCUUUACUCAAAGUCCAUCAAUGUAAAUGUUAGUGUCAUCUAAAAGUACUCUCACAGAAAGACCCAUAAUAAUGUUUACCCAAAUAUCUGGGCACACUGUGGUUCAUCCAAGAUGACACAUAAAAUUAACCAUCAUGGACAUCUUAAUUUGAGGCAGCCAGUGUGUCUGCACUCUAGGGGAAGGGUCGGCAAACUACAGUCCACAGGACAAAUCUGUUUUUGUAAGUAAAGGUUUUGGGAAUUCAGCCACACUUGUUCAUGUACAUAUUGUCUAUGGCUGCUUUUGCAGUACCAUGCCAAAACUGAGUGUUCUAAUGAGACCAUAUGGCCUACAAAACCGAAAUUUGACUCUGUCUGUACAGAAUGGCUGAUCCCUGUUUUAGGCAGUUAUGUGCCCAGCUAAAUACUGGGAUUAUUUAGAGAGAGAGAAAGGAAAUUGUGGUAGGCAGAUAGCAAUCUUGAUCCACAGCAGCAUAAAGGACUUGCUGCUGAGAUCUUCUAAGAAAUCUCCCAGCCAUUCAGCAGCAAUUUUUUUGUGCAAUCUAUGAGAUACUGAAGGAAUUACAAAGAAGUACAAGCCAUUUCCCCCAAUCUCAGGAACUUAGUGGAUUAACUUUGUGGAAAGCAAUGGUCUUUGGACCCAGAGAGGGCUGAGUUUAGGCUGAAUUAUUAGCCAUGUGAUCAAACUUCUCAAAACUUCAGUUUUCUCAUCUCUAAAAUGAGCAUGGCCCUAUUACCUCAUCAGGUUGCUGUAUAAAUUAAAUAAGGUCAUUUAUAUGGUGUCUAGCAUAUCAUAAACCCUUUCUUCUUGUCUGAUAGUGAAAACAAUGAUAACUAAUAGUAAUUAAACUUUAUCUGUGUGCUGGGCUCUAGGCAAGGGUUCUUCAUGUAUUAACUCAUUUAAUCCUCACAACAGCUCUUCGAGGUAGGAACAAUCAUUAUCCCCAUUGUAUGAAUGAGAACAUUGAGAGAUGAGGUAUCUUGGCAAAGAGUGCCUAGUUAGAGCAGAGCUGUGAUUCAAACCCAGCUUGCCUGAUUUCUGAUCCCAAGAGCCUGCCCGCCAGUCUGUCCCACAGCCUUCCCAUGUCAGAGCCCUCCUGCCAUCAUCUCCUUCCCCCUCUGGCUGUAAGACAUUCACAGUGUAACUGAGAAAGCAGAGCACAUUCAAAUAAAAAACAAAUUCAUAACAUAAGGCAGUGGAGGUGAAGUGCCAAGUGAGCGGUAUCACUUAGAUACUGAGAGGUUCCAGUCCCCCAGAGCGGUCAGGGGAGGUAUCAAAGCAGGGAUGGGGCCAAAUUGGGUCAUGAUGGACCUACAGGAUUUAGAAGACAGGAAGACACUGUGCAGCCAUAGGGAGUGGAGUGGGCAAGGCUUGGAGGUGGGAAAGAAAUAGCACAAUUAAGGAAUAACAGGUAAAUAAUCCUGGCUAAAUCACAGGAUUCUUACCGGGAGUCCAGAGAGAGCAAUUUGGAAAUGAAGAUUAGAAUUAAAUGAAGGAGCUUGAAUGUCUGUCUAAAAAGCUUCACUGUAUUCGGUAGACACUGAGUAGUCAUUGGAAGGUUUUGAAUGGUGAAAUCACAUGAUGGCAGCAGUGUCUUUAAGAAUAAUGUGGUGGUUUUGGGAGUGAUGACUGAGGCCCAGAGGCUGGGAGACUAGUUGAGAGGCUUUUGAAAUGAUCUAGACAUGACGUAAUGAGAACUUGAAGUGGAGUGUUAGCACAGGCAUGGAUGGAAUGGCAGGAAGGUAGGAGACAUCACAUGAGCAGAACCGGGGCACUUGGUGACUUCGUCUGGGAGUGAGGAGGGGGAGGGGCAGGAUGACUGCCAGGCUUUCAGCCUGGGUGAUGGGAGAAUUUUAUUCUAAAUAGAAGCAGAAGAGGUAAAGGGGAGCUCCAUCUGCCACCCCACCUCCAUGAGGUCUCUGUCUCCACUGAGCAUCUUCACUUACUAGCCGUCACCAGAUACCUGUGAGCAGCCAGCCAUCUCCUCUUUCUUCUUUGCUGCAAGGUGCCACUUCCACCAGAGAAGAACCUAGGGCAGUGAGGAAGCAUGGCCUUUGGGUCAAAGAGGUAGAAUUUAUAUCUGCUCCAUCCGUCACUGGCACUGUAACCUUGAGCACAUCUCAACUGCCCUGAGAUUUAGUCUCUUUAAACUAGGGAUGACAAUACCUACUUGAUAGAGUACUUGCGAAUUAUAUAACAAACUCAAAUCAUUUAGUAUUGCGUCUGGCACGAAGUAGAUGCUCAAUCAUAAUGGCUAACACACUGUGCUUGAAACAGGUACUGCUUUAACUGCUUUACAUCGAUUCACUUGUUUACUCCUCUCAACAGUCCUGCAAGGUGGAUAUCACUCUCACCUUCAGCGCACAAAGAAAGGAGGUAUACAGAAGACACAGAACUCACCAAAGUCACAGGAACUAGGUGAGGAUGAACCAGGCUGCAUCCAAGCAGCCCAGCUUCAGGGUCUGUAUUCUUUGCCACUACCCAGAACUUUUACCAAUAAGCAAAGCUAUUGUUUGCAAUAACAGGAAGCAAAAAUAGCAAAAAGUUCCCUUUAAGGGGGAGUGUUAUAAUAUACUUAACAAUCAGAAUGGCUGAAGCACUGAUCUGUGAGAGUGGCUACUGGUCAUAGCCUGGAGCUGGUCUUUUAGGUCCUCUUUGGUUACUGGAUCCUGGGAGGAUGGAUGAGGAAGUGGUCUCAGGCAAGGGGUGGAGUUAAGUGGCUGUGGAAGGUACUUUGGAGGCUCAGGCAGCAGCUUUUUUUCCCCUUAAACUUUUGUUUUAAGUUCUAGGGUACACGUGCAGGAUGUGCAGUUUACAUAGGUAAACGUGUGCCGUGGUGGUUUGCUGUACAGAACAAACCAUCACUCAGGUAUUAUUAAGCCCAGCACCCAUUAGCUAUUCUUUCUGAUGCUUUCCCUCUCCCAACUUCCACCCGACAGGCCCCAGUGUGUGUUGUUCCCCUCCCUCUGUUCUCAUUGUUCAGCUCCCACUUAUAAGU